rnacentral:rRNA from 1 species
UUUGAUCCUGGCUCAGAACGAACGCUGGCGGCAUGCCUAAUACAUGCAAGUCGAACGAGACCUUCGGGUCUAGUGGCGCACGGGUGCGUAACGCGUGGGAAUCUGCCCUUGGGUUCGGAAUAACAUCGGGAAACUGAUGCUAAUACCGGAUGAUGUCGAUAAGACCAAAGAUUUAUCGCCCAGGGAUGAGCCCGCGUAGGAUUAGCUAGUUGGUGGGGUAAAGGCUUACCAAGGCGACGAUCCUUAGCUGGUCUGAGAGGAUGAUCAGCCACACUGGGACUGAGACACGGCCCAGACUCCUACGGGAGGCAGCAGUAGGGAAUAUUGGACAAUGGGCGCAAGCCUGAUCCAGCAAUGCCGCGUGAGUGAUGAAGGCCUUAGGGUUGUAAAGCUCUUUUACCCGGGAUGAUAAUGACAGUACCG